AUCUGGAACCAUUUACCAAUGUAUUGUUUAAUUGUUCAUAAAUUUAUAGUCUUUUUCCUUUUUGCAGCUUCAUGUAUAUGGAGGUGUAAAAGGGUGGGUACGAGAAAAGUUAUUCAUUUGGAGAUAGACAUUUAUUUGGCCUAUUGGCAAUAUAGAUGCAGAGGAAAUAUUUAAGGAGGUAUUGUUUGACAGGAUUGUGCAGCAAACUUUAAGGGCUCGGAUGUUUUCAACCCGCGCAAAAGAUUUAAAUUGAUUGCGUUUAUCUAUACUAUCGUAUAAAGCAUUUCACAAGGGUUCCAACCAAAUUUAAAUAAUUGCAACAUAUUAUGCUUAUAGUACAACAACUCAAUGAAGUUAGUAAAGGGAAUUAGUCUUUCUACA